rnacentral:rRNA from 1 species
UACGUAGGGUGCAAGCGUUGUCCGGAAUUAUUGGGCGUAAAGAGCUCGUAGGCGGUUUGUCGCGUCUGCUGUGAAAACCCGAGGCUCAACCUCGGGCCUGCAGUGGGUACGGGCAAACUAGAGUGCGGUAGGGGAGAAUGGAAUUCCUGGUGUAGCGGUGGAAUGCGCAGAUAUCAGGAGGAACACCGGUGGCGAAGGCGGGUCUCUGGGCAGUAACUGACGCUGAGGAGCGAAAGCGUGGGGAGCGAACAGG